rnacentral:rRNA from 1 species
UACGUAGGGGGCAAGCGUUAUCCGGAUUUACUGGGUGUAAAGGGAGCGUAGACGGCAAUGCAAGUCUGGAGUGAAAGGCGGGGGCCCAACCCCCGGACUGCUCUGGAAACUGUAUAGCUGGAGUGCAGGAGAGGUAAGUGGAAUUCCUAGUGUAGCGGUGAAAUGCGUAGAUAUUAGGGGGAACACCAGUGGCGAAGGCGGCUUACUGGACUGUAACUGACAUUGAGGCUCGAAAGCGUGGGGAGCAGACAGG